rnacentral:rRNA from 1 species
GAUGAACGCUGGCGGCGUGCCUAAUACAUGCGAGUCGAGCGAACAGACGAGGAGCUUGCUCCUCUGACGUUAGCGGCGGACGGGUGAGUAACACGUGAAUAACCUACCUAUAAGACUGGGAUAACUUCGGGAAACCGGAGCUAAUACCGGAUAAUAUAUUGAACCGCAUGGUUCAAUAGUGAAAUACGGUUUUGCUGUCACUUAUAGAUGGAUCCGCGCCGCAUUAGCUAGUUGGUAAGGUAACGGCUUACCAAGGCAACGAUGCGUAGCCGACCUGAGAGGGUGAUCGGCCACACUGGAACUGAGACACGGUCCAGACUCCUGCGGGAGGCAGCAGUAGGGAAUCUUCCGCAAUGGGCGAAAGCCUGACGGAGCAACGCGGCGUGAGUGAUGAAGGUCUUCGGAUCGUAAAACUCUGUUAUUAGGGAAGAACAAAUGUGUAAGUAACUAUGCACGUCUUGACGGUACCUAAUCAGAAAGCCACGGCUAACUACGUG